AAGAGGUGGAAACUGAAUGCUGAAGGGAGGGAAACCUAGAAUUGAGUUCAGGACUGCUGCGUGGUCUUGAAUAAGCCGCGCAGGCUCUCAGAGCCCGGGUUUUGGAGGGUGGAGAGGCUAACUUACAACCGCUCCGUCCCAGGUUCGGAUGUUUAUUUAGAGAAAGUGGGGCUCUUUCCGCAUUCCAGGCUCCUACAUGCCUGCGGCUCUGGAGAACCCAAUUCUCUGCUGUGUCCUCGUCGUCUCUUCCACGCUCACACCUGGGGGGCACCCGCCACGCCCUGCUGCCCUGUGGGGGAUGCUGAGUGCUGCCGGGAAACGAGAGGAGGCAGUGAAGGAGAAAGGGCAGCCAGCCGGAAAAAAUAGGAAGUUGAUGCAGCUGGACGAUGAUGGGGACUUUUUUUUUUUUUUUUUUUUCUUUUUUGGCUGGAAGGUGCCUUUUUAUGCCUCUGUACCGUUGUCUCUGCCUGCAGACCCUCUCCUCUCAAUUACACCUGCUGAAUUUUUUGUUCGGUGUGAUCUUUUUCUGAACUCUGAAGAAUGGCUCUGCUGCUGCCUCUGGGCAAUGGAGAAGUCUUUUGCUACAGGUUACAGGGCAUAUUGUUCAUAGCAUCAUCCUCUGUGCUGCCUCUGUCCAGCUCUGGACCUAGUUGUUUGUACUACAUCUUAAUUCUCCAGCGGAGCAAGAAAAGUCAUUCAUUUGUAUUAUACUAUCUUUUUCCUGUUAGGGAAAGAAUAUAUGUUUUCUGUCUCUCCACAGUUUGGACACCAAGGACUGGAACGACUUAUCUCCUACAUAGUUUAAUUUCUUUUUGAGGUAACAAGUAUUGAAUCCAGGGGUGUCACACUGAGCUACAUCCCUUGCCCUUUUUCUGUUUAUAUUUUAUUUUGAGAGAGGCUCUCACUAAAUUGCCAAGUUGCCCAGGCUAGGCUCAAACUUACAGUCCUUCUGCUUCAGCUUCCCAAGGUGCUGGGAUUACAGGCGGGUGUCAGCACUCCCUCUUGGCACUAUUUCAUUGUCUUUAUUGAUAUAACUUUAUUAUUCCAGGAGAAUCUUGCUCUGACAAAUAACUUGAUUGCUAGUUACAGGAACUUCCUUGAAAAACCCAGCAACUCUUCAGUAAAAUCGACAGUUAACACCUUAAUAUGUUGAAUCCCUCACUUCAAAAUCUUCACCUGUGGUUUCCAGUAAUAGAUCAUGAUCUUGUGUCCUAAUUCCUCCCCACAUUUAAUCAAGCUUUCCUCUCCCCUUGGAUUAAAAGACCUACCUCAGUAUGACCUCCCACCUCUCAGUAAAAUCCUACCUUGUUUUACUACUUGAAGACACCAGAAAAGUUCUGUGGAAGUAGUGUUAUCCCUUAUCGAUGGA
rnacentral:lncRNA from 1 species